GGAACACAUGUGAGGAUUGUUGCACCCAAGGAAUUUGAGGCAGAGUAUGUGAACAGAAAAGGGCACCACUCUAUAAAUGUGCAAAUCGUAUGUGACACACACGGGAGAAUUUUACACCAAACUGCAAACUGGCCCGGGUCUGUCCAUGACGCACGUAUUUUGCGUGAAAGUGCUCUGUUCACAGGGUUCGAGAGGGGUAUGGUCCCUGCAGGAUGCCACUUAUUGGGAGACAGUGCCUACCCCUCCAAGAAGUGGCUCCUGACACCCUAUGUACGACCUCAGCCGGGCCCACAGUCCGCCUAUAAUAGAGCACACAAAAGGACAAGGAGCACAGUGGAGAGGGGGAUUGGCCAGUGGAAGCGGAGAUUUCAUGUGCUCCAUGGUGAAAUCAGAGUCAGCCCUCCUGCAUAUGUGUGUAGAAUAAUACAGGUGUGUGCUAUUUUGCACAACAUCUGCAAAGACAGACGCCUCCCUGUACCCGAGGAAGGAGAGGACGAGGGUGAUGGUGCAGUUUUCCAUGAGGACCCACCUGUCCCACUACCACCUGUACCUGGACGAGUUCGGGAAGGUCUGCUCUACAGGGAUGAGUUUGUCAACCUUCACUUCAUUGACAGACCUCAACCUCAGCCUCGUGCAGCUGUGUGAGGCUUCCCGACCCAUCAACAGGUUAAUUCCACACCUACUUCCAACUCUGCAGCCUGCAGUUCAAGUUCCCUCUUCAGGCGGAUGAACUGCAGCUCCUCCUCAUCCACCAACAUGGUGCAGGUCCCAACUGGUGUACUGGAGGAAGCUGCAGCGGCAGGAACUACUGGUGGUGGUGUGGUGGUGGUUUGAGGUGUGUCUGUGCUGGGUUGGGGAGGGACAGGUGGUGUGACAUCCACCUGAAGACUCCUGGCAAAAAUACAUCCAUCAGUACCUGCACUCAUAAUUUUCUUGUGUUAUUUGACUUGCAUCCCCAUUUA